UACGUAGGGUGCAAGCGUUAUCCGGAUUCAUUGGGCGUAAAGGGCUCGUAGGCGGUUCGUCGCGUCCGGUGUGAAAGUCCAUCGCUUAACGGUGGAUCCGCGCCGGGUACGGGCGGGCUUGAGUGCGGUAGGGGAGACUGGAAUUCCCGGUGUAACGGUGGAAUGUGUAGAUAUCGGGAAGAACACCAAUGGCGAAGGCAGGUCUCUGGGCCGUUACUGACGCUGAGGAGCGAAAGCGUGGGGAGCGAACAGG
rnacentral:rRNA from 1 species